UUAUCAUCGAACAAUCUAAAAAAUUUAUGCGUGCGCUGAACAUUUUCGAAGACAAAUGUGAACGUUUAUUGCGACUGUACAACUGAACUAUUCAUACGGUGCAAGUCAUAUUCUUUUGAAACGAUUUUGACAAACAUUUCAAACGAAGAGGGACAUUUUCAACUUUGACCCCUGACGAAUUGAAUGAGUUUUCUGCAAAAUGGCAGCGUCAAUACCUUCUGCGGUGUCCYCACCCUCAUUGGGUCAAAAACGCAGYGCAUCUUUGAAGAAGAAAGAAAGAAGAAAACGAAAACGCCAAGCUCUCGCCAAAGCCCAAAUCAGAGUAUCUGGUGAAAAUGGAGAUGAUUCUCCACCCAGAA